rnacentral:rRNA from 1 species
GACGAACGCUUGCGGCGUGCUUAACACAUGCAAGUCGAACGGAAAGGCCCUGCUUUUGUGGGGUGCUCGAGUGGCGAACGGGUGAGUAACACGUGAGUAACCUGCCCUUGACUUUGGGAUAACUUCAGGAAACUGGGGCUAAUACCGGAUAGGAGCUCCUGCUGCAUGGUGGGGGUUGGAAAGUUUCGGCGGUUGGGGAUGGACUCGCGGCUUAUCAGCUUGUUGGUGGGGUAGUGGCUUACCAAGGCUUUGACGGGUAGCCGGCCUGAGAGGGUGACCGGCCACAUUGGGACUGAGAUACGGCCCAGACUCCUACGGGAGGCAGCAGUGGGGAAUAUUGCACAAUGGGCGGAAGCCUGAUGCAGCAACGCCGCGUGCGGGAUGACGGCCUUCGGGUUGUAAACCGCUUUCGCCUGUGACGAAGCGUGAGUGACGGUAAUGGGUAAAGAAGCACCGGCUAACUACGUGCCAGCAGCCGCGGUGAUACGUAGGGUGCGAGCGUUGUCCGGAUUUAUUGGGCGUAAAGGGCUCGUAGGUGGUUGAUCGCGUCGGAAGUGUAAUCUUGGGGCUUAACCCUGAGCGUGCUUUCGAUACGGGUUGACUUGAGGAAGGUAGGGGAGAAUGGAAUUCCAGGUGGAGCGGUGGAAUGCGCAGAUAUCAGGAGGAACACCAGUGGCGAAGGCGGUUCUCUGGGCCUUUCCUGACGCUGAGGAGCGAAAGCGUGGGGAGCGAACAGGCUUAGAUACCCUGGUAGUCCACGCUGUAAACGGUGGGUACUAGGUGUGGGGUCCAUUCCACGGGUUCCGUGCCGUAGCUAACGCUUUAAGUACCCCGCCUGGGGAGUACGGCCGCAAGGCUAAAACUCAAAGGAAUUGACGGGGCCCCGCACAAGCGGCGGAGCAUGCGGAUUAAUUCGAUGCAACGCGUAGAACCUUACCUGGGUUUGACAUGGAUCGGGAGUGCUCAGAGAUGGGUGUGCCUCUUUUGGGGUCGGUUCACAGGUGGUGCACGGCUGUCGUCAGCUCGUGUCGUGAGAUGUGGGGUUAAGUCCCGCAACGAGCGCAACCCUUGUUCACUGUUGCCAGCACGUUAUGGUGGGGACUCAGUGGAGACCGCCGGGGUCAACUCGGAGGAAGGUGGGGAUGACGUCAAGUCAUCAUGCCCCUUAUGUCCAGGGCUUCACGCAUGCUACAAUGGCUGGUACAGAGAGUGGCGAGCCUGUGAGGGUGAGCGAAUCUCGGAAAGCCGGUCUCAGUUCGGAUUGGGGUCUGCAACUCGACCUCAUGAAGUCGGAGUCGCUAGUAAUCGCAGAUCAGCAACGCUGCGGUGAAUACGUUCCCGGGGCU